GCCAGCGUGGUGCAGUGGUUUGAGUGCUGGACUGGGACUCUGGGAGACCAGGGUUCAAAACCUUGCUCAGCCA